CUGAGAGGGUUACGCCCCAAUGAAAAUCUUUUGGGUUUCAUCUCCAUAAGAGUGGUUGAGUUUUUACGUUGGCUCGCCAAGCCUAUCACAACCCUCCUCCUUUACCCGGGCUUGGGACCGGCUAUGUUGAGACAACAUAGGCGGAGUUUUCUCGCAGAUUGUUGAAAGGUUCAAUUUUAUCUCAUGAGAUGAUGUGUAUGUGGUUGCGACUUAAAGGUUGUCUUUAACUCUUAUUCUUGAGAUGGUGCGUUCUUGUGACAAUUACUUACUAAAAGCACGUCUUUGCUCUCAUUAAACAAAAUUUUAAGGUAAUUAACAUGGGGGAGAGAGAGUCACCACCUGAAUCACUAAAACAAUUUAGUAACAUCCAUUGAGGUGGUAUUAAAAUGUACUGUUACUAGUCAACAAAGAUCUGGUCUUAAAUAUUAUGCACUUUAUUGCUAAUUAUGCCUCAUUGUCUAUAUCCGCCGCUACAUCAUGGGUGCAUUUUUGUAGUCGAAUAUGUUGCCGAUGUAUAUGCUCGGCUGAGAAAACACAAAAUUUAUUGUGGUGGGUGUUUUUAUGGUGACCUGCUACUCAUUUGAGAUACAGAUAGACUACUAGUUAUUCAGCAUUGUGGAUAUGGAAAAUGAUAUGUUGUUAUAUGUUUUCCUGAGACUACAUUCAUCCGUACUCUUGGAUUGGAUCUUCUCAAAAGAUGUGAGCCUGGGUUGGCCAUCUUCAAGAGUAAUCCUGCUCCUAUCUAUGGUCUGCUCUUAUCUUCAAGGAUAAAUGAUUUGUGAAGCUUACCUACCGGAGAUACCUCGAUGAUAAUGCUGCUAAGUUAUUCUGUCUUUGGAGCCUAGGGCCUGGAUUGCAAACUCAAGAUACAGACUGUAAAGAGCCUUCUGCUCUUGGGCGUGGACCCUGACGAGGUCUGCAUGAGAUUUGCAAAGGAGUUGGACGUGCAGGGGCAUGGGAUCCCGGUUAGGUGACAGUGGUCAAUGCCACCUACAUGGGCAUGGAUGCCCUCCACUUUGCAUGCGGCCUCGGUAAGCUGCCGGUCUACCAGUAGCUCGUGUAGGAGGUCAAGAUGGAUGUCGACACGCUGAAACCGAUCUGGGUUCAGGUCUGCAUCAAAGGUAGCAUCUAGCUCAUCGACAAGGGUGUCCACGUGGGUUAUCAAUGGCGUGGUCCUAAAAGACGAGAAGCACGGCUGUCGUGACGAUGGUGGACAUCGCCACCUACCUGCUGCCCAAGAAGACCAAGCCUAGCUAGCCUGAUGCCUCCCCUUCUUCACAGUCCCACGCUAGGAGAGGAGGAGGGGCGGCCACUGCUUCCUUCGCUGAGCUCGCCUCCACCGGGCUGCUUGUGCAGUUUGGUGCAGGAUUUGGCUCCGCGGUUCAAUUUCAAUGUUGUGGGGGAACUGGUGCCGUUGUGGGCUACCUGUCCUUAAGGUUCAUCUUCCAACGAUUGUAGCCAUGUCGAGGUUAGGCCCCGCUUCCUGCCAUGUGCACGCUGCUCGCUUGCCCAACACCGUACCCUACAUGCGUACCCUACAUGCGCUCCUCCAUGAACCUCGUCAGAUGCUGUGAGGCUGAGGGAACUUGAUAUGCUCAAGGGACAUGUGCGGUCGGUUGUCUAGCUGAAAGCGCUCGACAUCGAGACCUUCCAGCAGUCCAUAUGCGGUUUGAUGUUGUGGGCUCCCAUGUCUGCCUCCCUGGCUACAACCAUUCUGGAUGGAUUAUAGUGAGUCGACGCCAAACAGCAGGGGUCAUACAAUAAGCAAGGUGGGAGGAUGCCAUCUCUCGCACUACUACUAAGGUGCAGAAGAGAUAGUGUGCACGUGGAGAAGGCGCCCAAUAUCACCAGCGAGAUCUACUUCAACUGUUGGUAAAGAAAGAACGAGGCACCCUUGCUCAUCUUCACAACCUUACAUGGGUGUGUGCCGAAUGCUUCUUCUUCCAGAACAGUGAAACCCAUGUCCGCACCUACCCAUCUCCAUCUGGAUGGUUAUUCAUACUUUGAUGUCUGGAUGGAUUACAGCUAAACAGCAUGGGGUGCAUACAACAAGUGAAGUGGGAGAAUACCAUCUCUCAUGGUACUACUCAGCCACCAGAUGGAGGCGGCAGCGAACCCUAGCCGUGCCCCUGCUGCUCUUCCCCAACGUGCCGCUCGGCUAUCCCUUCGCAUCCGGUGGACAGAAUCGACUCCGGUGGUAUAGAACAAUGAAACCCAUGUCCAGACCUGCUCAUCUCCAUCUGGAUGAUUUUUCAUUCUUUGCCGUCCGGAUAGAUUAUAGUGAGUCGACACCAAAUAGUAGGGUUGCAUACGACAAGCAAAGUGGGAGGAUGCCAUCUCUCGCACUGCUACCCAGGUGCAGGACAGAACUGCCAUGUAGUGUGCCCAUGUGAUUCUUCUUCCACUCUGACGGCUCCCGCCCUUCCCCUUAGGUGGCCCCCAUUACUCUUCCGCUCUGUCAGAGCUGAUGAUAAGGAGAAUUUGUUCCUCUAAGGCCAUCCCGGCACAGAUAAGGAGAAUUUGUGCCUCUAGGGCCACCCUGAUGCAGAUAAGAAGAGAAUAGAGACCAAGCCUUCCUGCAUCAUGCUUGACCAUGUAGUCCUCCCCGCGUUCGUCGUCCUCCGAACCCUGGGAGUGGUCUGGAAUGAUGGCGAGGAUGGCGACGCAGUCUAUGCUUGAGAUGAUGGAAGGUCAGUUAGCUGCUGGAAAUCUGAUCCUCCGAAGGGUGAGAAUACAGGGGAGAGCAUAUCUGUCCAAAGAAAAGAAAAGGCUGGAAGUUGUGGUUGGUAGGGCCACAGAGGUAACUUGACAUGCUCAAGUGGCUUUCUAUCUGGGUUGUGGCCAGAAGCUGGCUGUUAGAUUCAUCGACUUCUCAGUUAGUUUGUUGUGGUGUUGAAAUAGCUUCUUGUUUUUAGAAUUGUGGUGAAGAGCUAAGUUGGCUUCCUGUUGUUGAUUUUUGUUGUUGUGGAAGAUAUUGUCUUGGCAGGAUGAUUUUGAAUGAGCUGGAUGCUUUACAAAGGAAUGAAUUCGAUUUGAGUGCA